rnacentral:misc_RNA from 1 species
AAUGAAAACAAAGAUGCAGGAUGUUGAUUGCUCAGAGUGCUACUGCAGAUGGUGUGGGCGUUGCAGCGAUCUGUUAAGCUGUAAAUCAUGCAAAAGGUUAUUUUGUAGUGUGUGUAUAAGGAGGAACCUUGGUGAAGAAAUUUUAACAGGAAUUAAAACAUCUGGGUGGCAAUGCUGCUGUUGCUCCCCAAGUAUCCUGCUUCCGUUGGUUUCAGUGUUGGAGAAGAUCAUGGAGUCUCAAGGUUUGGUAGAUUCAAAUACAGACACGGAUUCAGAUAACUCAGAUGCUGAUAUCAACGAGCAUAAAAGCACCAAGAGAAGGCCUAAAAAGAAAAUUAGAAGAAUCCUGGAUGAUACUGAGUUAGGGGAGGAGACAAAAAGGAAGAUUGCAAUUGAAAAGGAACGCCAAGAACGCCUCAAAUCUCUAGGAGCAAAAUUUUCAAGCAAGACUAUGUUCAUGGAUUCUGGGGGUUGUAGCAAAAGCUCGUAUGAAACUGGUAGCUUGGAAAUGCUUGGUGAUAUUCAAACUGGUUACAUAGUUAAUGUGGUGAGGGAGGAAGGGGAAGAGGCUGUCAGGAUUCCACGCAGUAUCUCCGCAAAACUAAAAUCUCACCAGGUUGCUGGGAUUCGAUUUAUGUGGGAAAAUAUUAUUCAAUCUAUCAGGAAAGUCAAGGCUGGGGAUAAAGGUCUUGGUUGCAUCCUAGCUCAUACUAUGGGUCUAGGUAAAACGUUUCAGGUGAUUUCUUUCUUGUAUGCUGCUAUGAGGUGUGUGGAUUUAGGAUUGAGAACUGCUCUCAUAGUCACGCCUGUAAGUGUUCUGCAUAACUGGCGGCAGGAAUUUAUAAAAUGGGAACCAUCAGAAAUGAAGCCUCUCCGUGUCUUUAUGCUUGAAGAAGUUCCAAGGGAGAGAAGGGCCGAGCUACUCCAAAAAUGGAGAGUAAAAGGUGGCGUUUUCUUAAUUGGCUACACUGCUUUCAGAAAUUUGACACUAGGGAAGAAUAUAAAAG